GAAUCUGGAGACAGGUGCUGCAUGGCUGUCGUCAGCUCGUGUCGUGAGAUGUUGGGUUAAGUCCCGCAACGAGCGCAACCCUUGCCUUUAGUUGCCAGCAGUCGGCUGGGCACUCUAAAGGGACUGCCGGUGUUAAACCGGAGGAAGGUGGGGAUGACGUCAAGUCCUCAUGGCCUUUAUGACCAGGGCUACACACGUACUACAAUGGCCGAUACAAAGGGCAGCGACACUGCGAGGUGAAGCCAAUCCCGUAAAAUCGGUCUCAGUCCGGAUUGGAGUCUGCAACUCGACUCCAUGAAGUUGGAAUCGCUAGUAAUCGUGGAUCAGCAUGCCACGGUGAAUACGUUCCCGGGCCUU
rnacentral:rRNA from 1 species